AUGGGACUGAGCAAAAGUGAAGAAUCAGGGAGCCAUAUGUAAAGUGGUGCUUGAAGCUUUGAGAGGACAUAUCAUCUAUUGGAGCCUACCAACACUCUUUUAUUCAUGGCCCAUUCCUGAAUCUACAAAGCCAGCAAUACUGUGAGAAGCACCUAAGGAAAAAUACAGAAUGCCUUCCAGAGUCAACGAGCCUCUUUCC